GAUGAAGAACGCAGCGAAAUGCGAUAAGUAAUGUGAAUUGCAGAAUUCAGUGAAUCAUCGAAUCUUUGAACGCACAUUGCGCCCGCCAGUAUUCUGGCGAGCAUGCCUGUUCGAGCGUCAUUUCAACCAUCAAGCCCCAGGCUUGUGUUGGAGCCCUGCGGCUGCCGCAGCCCCCCAAAACCAGUGGCGGGCUCGCUAUCACACCGAGUGCAGUAGUUUACUCUUCGCUCAGGGCGUGUGGCGGGUGCUAGCCGUGAAACCCCCAACUUCUCAAGGUUGACCUCGGAUCAGGUAGGAAUACCCGCUGAACUUAAGCAUAUCAAUAAGCGGAGGA
rnacentral:misc_RNA from 1 species